AUUUGUUGUUGUCCUCCUUUUGGUUGUGUGAGGAGGCAAAGUGUACUAACUUAUGCCUCCAUCUUGGCCGGAAGUCUUGAUUUCUGCCUCAUCCUUAGUUUCUAACUCCUGUGGAAGAGACAAUCUGGAUCUAAAACUUAUUCUAUAAAUGGCAGGUUCACAGCAGGCCAGACUUUCAGACUUGACUGAGCUGAGGGGUUCAGGAGCUCUGCACCUGGAAAAGCUUUGCUCAUCCAUUACAGAGAUUUGGAAUAUUAGAAUUGAAAAGGUGUCUCCAAUCUUAAUAGUUCAAAUCUUACAAAUAGUACAAAAGGAGAUUGCCUUUUGUAUAGGAGUUCCCAGUGUCUGCUUGUACACUUCCAGUGACAACAAGGUCAGUACAGGAUUUUACACAGUACUGACUCCAAGGCUAGACAUCUCUGCUUAGCAGAGUUCCUCUUUAGGAGGUGCCAUGAGUAACCUCCAUUCCUGGAGUCAACCUACUUUGGGCUCCAAUUCAACAUGGGAUGUUGAAGAUUUUUAGAUUUUUUCUGCAACUUUCCCCUGACCUUCUUAAUAAUGGAAUUAUAGGUCUGUACUAGCUUUGCAUAAAGGGAGACUAUUAUGGCCCUUGAUUUGACCUCUCUAAUUCCUGUUACUCCCCCUUCCUCUUCAUCUUGCCCACAAAUGGAAUGUGUCAGGUUCUAUAUUAAGGUAGUUUAGUAUAAGUUUUUGUUCUUCCUCCCAAUGACCUUAAGAGAUAAAUAUUGCCUUCUUUACUGAUGAAGAAAUUAAGCCUCAGAGAGGCGAAGUAAUACAGCUAAGAAAGAGAACAAGAAUUCAAAGCCAGUCUGUUAACUCUAGGACGAGAAGCCUUUCCCUUACAAAUGUGUAUAAAACACAAAGAACUGAGAGAACAGUAUAAUGAAGCCCCUUGUCAAUCCAUAAGUCAGCUCCAACAAUUCCCAAUGUUGGUCUGGAAAUUUUAACUGACUCGAAAUUUAUUAUCAGUUGCUAUAGCCUCAACUAUCUGGACUUAAGAAAACUUUUCAUUGUUUGUUCCAGUAAUUUCCAACCUAAUGAUCAUCUGUUUCAUAUGUAGCCCUACCAGUUGGCCCAGAGCAGAGGCACCGUAAACUCACCCUAUUCAUUCACGAAGUAGUGAGGGCCUACUCUGGAAAACAGUGUCCUUAUUUGCAGAUAAAAAUCAAGUGGAGGUACAGUAUGUCUAUUGGUGAUAAGUGCUAUGAAGAAAAGUAAAGUAGGUAAGGGGGUAAAGAGUGAUACGGAUUUUGUGUGUAGCAGGCAGGGAAGGUUUUUCUGAUAACACUUGAAAAGUGAGAGAGGGAAUUACGUGGGUACCUGGGGGGAGAACAUUCCAGGUGGAGAAACUAGCAGUGUAAAGGGCUGAUACAAAUGUAUAUUUGGCAUAUUUGAAGAAUGGCAAGAAAAUAGGUAGGUGGGACAAAGAAAGAACUUUGGGUUUUAUUCUGAAUGAGAUGUAAAGCCAUUAUCAGAUUUUGAGCAAUGGAGGGACAAUGAUAUGACAUGUUUUAAAAAGAGCUAUUUGGUUUCAGCGUGGAGACUAGAAUGCAGGAGGGUGACCAGUAGGCCUGUGGUGGCUUAGACUUGGGUGGUAGUGGGUGAGGACAGUGAUAAGUAGUCAUAUUCUAGGUAGAUUUGAAAGAUAGAAACAACCAGAUUUGCUAAGUGAUUGGAUGUCUAAUGUGAGAAAACAGGGGGUCAAUUUGGCAUAAGCACCUAGAAGAAUGGAGUUGUCUUUUAGGAAUAUGGGGCAGAUGGGGGCAGGAGCAGAUUUGUAGGGGGGUAAUCAAGAAUUUUUCCUUUUCAGUUUGUGUGACAGGCUAUGAGGCAUACAAGUGGAAACCAAGGGGGUAGUUGAACAUGAAGUCAGUGUAAUGAAUGCUACUUCAAGUCUUGACAGUGAACAGCAACACCCAGUGACUGAGUGUAGAGAAAGGACUCGCAGACAAGGGCUCAGCCCUGGAGCAUUCGAAUGUCCAGAGGCUGGAGAUAAGGAGGAGCCAACAAAGGAAAUUAAAAAGGCAUAGCCAGUGAGGUAGGGGAGAACCAAGAAAAACUAGUGUCUCAGAAGCUAAGUGAAGAAUAUUUCAAGGAGGGGGUGAUAAAUUGUUUACUUGAACUAAAGUUUCUUCUCAACUGAAGCCCAGGGGCUCAGAGAUUCUGCUUCCUCAGGGCCAUCUGCCUCCCAGGCAGUGAGCCCUAAGCAAAGGUAAAUACCUAAAGGCAGAUAAAACCACACUUUUUGUUGUUCCUAUAUAUUUUUUUGGAAGAAGCAUGGCGGGGCCGGGGUUGGGGUGGGGUGAGGUGUGUGUCCAUUGUAGCUAAUUCUGUGUGGUUGACCCUCGAACAAUGCAGGGGUUAGGGGCACCAGCACCGCCCGCAGUGGAAAAUCCAUGUGUAACUUUUGACUGUCACAAAACUUAGUGAUUCAUUCAUUCUUCCUGAUAUUCUUAUGUGUGUAGAAAGUUCACAUUUAUUCUUAGUUGUGUGCAUCUCUUUCCAUUUUCUAGUGAAUUCUUAGUUACCUAGGGAUUAAUAGCUUGUUUCUUUUCUUCAGAUGUUCAACCUUCUAUUUCUCAUGAGGCUACAGGAAAUGUAUGUAUAGCUGUCCCCGACUUACAAUGGUUCAACUUAAGAUUUUUCAACUUUACAAUGCUGUGAAUGUGAUAUGCAUUCAGUAGAAAUCAUACUUUGAAUUUUCAUCUUUUCCCCGGCUAGGGACAUGCUUGCUAGGGACAUGUAUGAUACUUUCUGCUGGACUAGCAAGUCCCAGCUCCCCAUCAGCCACAUGAGAAUGAGGGUAUGCAACUGAUAGUCUACAGUGUAUUCCUUGUGUCAGAUGAUUUUGCCCAACUGUAGGCUAAUGUGUCGCCCUUGGGGCAGUUGAGAAAAGAACCACUGCCCAGACGCCUGGCACAUCCCUGGUGACAAGGGAACACUGCUGUGCUGAUGGUGGUGGUUGGGCAGCAGUAGUGGGAAAGGGAUCCUGAUCUCAGUCAUCCUGGCAUCUGGCUGGCUGGUGGCCAGGGGCCACGCGGGUCAGACUGUUGGUAGGCUCAAGAGUGUCACUUCCGUUCAUGCAGGGUCCAAGGCCUGGGUAUCCUAAUAACAUGGUGCCCACAAGUUCAAGGAAGAAACCAGAGGGAAAGGCAUUGAUGAUGGUACUAAGACAUUUAUUACAUCAUAAAAAGUACAUUGUUGUCUUGUUUUUCCAUAUGUACAUGCUCCUGUGGGGAGUCCCCCAUUCAGCCCCAUCUGCCCACCUUCCAUGGUGCCAAUCAUCUCUCCAAACUGACCAACUAAU